rnacentral:rRNA from 1 species
AUAAUGGGUCAGCGACUUAUAUUCUGUAGCAAGGUUAACCGAAUAGGGGAGCCGAAGGGAAACCGAGUCUUAACUGGGCGUUAAGUUGCAGGGUAUAGACCCGAAACCCGGUGAUCUAGCCAUGGGCAGGUUGAAGGUUGGGUAACACUAACUGGAGGACCGAACCGACUAAUGUUGAAAAAUUAGCGGAUGACUUGUGGCUGGGGGUGAAAGGCCAAUCAAACCGGGAGAUAGCUGGUUCUCCCCGAAAGCUAUUUAGGUAGCGCCUCGUGAAUUCAUCUCCGGGGGUAGAGCACUGUUUCGGCAAGGGGGUCAUCCCGACUUACCAACCCGAUGCAAACUGCGAAUACCGGAGAAUGUUAUCACGGGAGACACACGGCGGGUGCUAACGUCCGUCGUGAAGAGGGAAACAACCCAGACCGCCAGCUAAGGUCCCAAAGUCAUGGUUAAGUGGGAAACGAUGUGGGAAGGCCCAGACAGCCAGGAUGUUGGCUUAGAAGCAGCCAUCAUUUAAAGAAAGCGUAAUAGCUCACUGGUCGAGUCGGCCUGCGCGGAAGAUGUAACGGGGCUAAACCAUGCACCGAAGCUGCGGCAGCGACGCUGAUGCGUUGUUGGGUAGGGGAGCGUUCUGUAAGCCUGCGAAGGUGUGCUGUGAGGCAUGCUGGAGGUAUCAGAAGUGCGAAUGCUGACAUAAGUAACGAUAAAGCGGGUGAAAAGCCCGCUCGCCGGAAGACCAAGGGUUCCUGUCCAACGUUAAUCGGGGCAGGGUGAGUCGACCCCUAAGGCGAGGCCGAAAGGCGUAGUCGAUGGGAAACAGGUUAAUAUUCCUGUACUUGGUGUUACUGCGAAGGGGGGACGGAGAAGGCUAUGUUGGCCGGGCGACGGUUGUCCCGGUUUAAGCGUGUAGGCUGGUUUUCCAGGCAAAUCCGGAAAAUCAAGGCUGAGGCGUGAUGACGAGGCACUACGGUGCUGAAGCAACAAAUGCCCUGCUUCCAGGAAAAGCCUCUAAGCAUCAGGUAACAUCAAAUCGUACCCCAAACCGACACAGGUGGUCAGGUAGAGAAUACCAAGGCGCUUGAGAGAACUCGGGUGAAGGAACUAGGCAAAAUGGUGCCGUAACUUCGGGAGAAGGCACGCUGAUAUGUAGGUGAAGUCCCUCGCGGAUGGAGCUGAAAUCAGUCGAAGAUACCAGCUGGCUGCAACUGUUUAUUAAAAACACAGCACUGUGCAAACACGAAAGUGGACGUAUACGGUGUGACGCCUGCCCGGUGCCGGAAGGUUAAUUGAUGGGGUUAGCGCAAGCGAAGCUCUUGAUCGAAGCCCCGGUAAACGGCGGCCGUAACUAUAACGGUCCUAAGGUAGCGAAAUUCCUUGUCGGGUAAGUUCCGACCUGCACGAAUGGCGUAAUGAUGGCCAGGCUGUCUCCACCCGAGACUCAGUGAAAUUGAACUCGCUGUGAAGAUGCAGUGUACCCGCGGCAAGACGGAAAGACCCCGUGAACCUUUACUAUAGCUUGACACUGAACAUUGAGCCUUGAUGUGUAGGAUAGGUGGGAGGCUUUGAAGUGUGGACGCCAGUCUGCAUGGAGCCGACCUUGAAAUACCACCCUUUAAUGUUUGAUGUUCUAACGUUGACCCGUAAUCCGGGUUGCGGACAGUGUCUGGUGGGUAGUUUGACUGGGGCGGUCUCCUCCUAAAGAGUAACGGAGGAGCACGAAGGUUGGCUAAUCCUGGUCGGACAUCAGGAGGUUAGUGCAAUGGCAUAAGCCAGCUUGACUGCGAGCGUGACGGCGCGAGCAGGUGCGAAAGCAGGUCAUAGUGAUCCGGUGGUUCUGAAUGGAAGGGCCAUCGCUCAACGGAUAAAAGGUACUCCGGGGAUAACAGGCUGAUACCGCCCAAGAGUUCAUAUCGACGGCGGUGUUUGGCACCUCGAUGUCGGCUCAUCACAUCCUGGGGCUGAAGUAGGUCCCAAGGGUAUGGCUGUUCGCCAUUUAAAGUGGUACGCGAGCUGGGUUUAGAACGUCGUGAGACAGUUCGGUCCCUAUCUGCCGUGGGCGCUGGAGAACUGAGGGGGGCUGCUCCUAGUACGAGAGGACCGGAGUGGACGCAUCACUGGUGUUCGGGUUGUCAUGCCAAUGGCACUGCCCGGUAGCUAAAUGCGGAAGAGAUAAGUGCUGAAAGCAUCUAAGCACGAAACUUGCCCCGAGAUGAGUUCUCCCUGACUCCUUGAGAGUCCUGAAGGAACGUUGAAGACGACGACGUUGAUAGGCCGGGUGUGUAAGCGCAGCGAU